CUGCUUCGUUCCUGUACGAGACCACUUUGAAGACGAAAGCCGUCAUCACCCUGCCGCCUGGAUACAUGUCCAUUUAUUACCACAAACAUACUUAUCAGCAGACAUGCAUACGUAUAUAACACAAAAGGGGUGGCAAAUAAUAAACAUGCAUAUCUCCAAAACCCCGAAGCAAAACAUACACACACACAAAAAAAAACACAUACACACAAACACACUAAAAAAGUGAAAAGAAAGAGAUCUACUUACUGUCGGACAUGUGGCAAUCCGUCACUGUCGCCACGAGCUUAAGGCCCCAGAAGCCCAGCAGCUCCAUCUCGGCCAAGGGAUUGGGCAUGCUGUACUGCACCACGGUUAUGGCCUGGUGUUGUGUAUAAUAUUUCGUGCGUGGGUGUGGGCGGAUGAUUGGUUUUGGUGGGUGAUGGGGUGUGGCAUAUAAUAUAAUAAUAAGAUAUGUUAUCAUAUUUCUUCCCACUUUGUAAAAUAAAAUUAAAAAACACGGAAGGUCUUCCCUGCUGUGCAUGCUCUGCCGUUGUCGACUACACAGCUACUACUGUCAUUAUUGUUAUCAUCAUUAUUAUUUAAUUCUACUACUCGUGCCACGAUAGCUACAAUAAACACCCCCCUCCCCCCCCGCUGCUUUUCUUAUCUUUUCCUGCCGUCUGUCACCCUUAUUACUAUUAAUAAUAAUAUUUUUUAAUAUUAUCAUCGUCACAUUUUUUUAUUAUUAUUAUUAUUUAUUAAUUUUUUUAUUGUAUCUCAUCCCUGUUAUAUAAUUUUACGAUACAUACAAGCGUGUGUACAGUACAUGUUUUCAUGUCAACAUAAUAUUUUACAUACCUUCCGGCUGCCGUGACGNN
rnacentral:lncRNA from 1 species